UCCCUCAUAGUCUAGUUGGUUAUGAUACAAGGUUCUCACCCUUGAGACCCGGGUUCAAAUCCCGGUGAGGGAG
rnacentral:tRNA from 2 species